rnacentral:rRNA from 1 species
GACGAACGCUGGCGGCGUGCUUAACACAUGCAAGUCGAACGGAAAGGCCCUGCUUUUGUGGGGUGCUCGAGUGGCGAACGGGUGAGUAACAUGUGAGUAACCUGCCCUUGACUUUGGGAUAACUUCAGGAAACUGGGGCUAAUACCGGAUAGGAGCUCCUGCUGCAUGGUGGGGGUUGGAAAGUUUCGGCGGUUGGGGAUGGACUCGCGGCUUAUCAGCUUGUUGGUGGGGUAGGGGCUUACCAAGGCUUUGACGGGUAGCCGGCCUGAGAGGGUGACCGGCCACAUUGGGACUGAGGUACGGCCCAGACUCCUACGGGAGGCAGCAGUGGGGAAUAUUGCACAAUGGGCGGAAGCCUGAUGCAGCAACGCCGCGUGCGGGAUGACGGCCUUCGGGUUGUAAACCGCUUUCGCCUGUGACGAAGCGUGAGUGACGGUAAUGGGUAAAGAAGCACCGGCUAACUACGUG